rnacentral:rRNA from 1 species
AUGUCAACUCCGGCGUUGUAUCCUACUAUAAAUACCCAAUCGAUCCAGGAUCCAAAGCACCAAACCACACAACCAUUAGCAACUCCUAGUUGCCGGCCACUGCAAGUAGCUAAGCUUAGCUCCAAGGAGCUAGCAGAGAAGAAGCCUAGCUCGGUCAGGACAGGAGAGGCAGAUAUGGAGGUGGAGGCCAGCGCUCAUGGCGACACGGCGGCGAGCAAGUUCACGCUGCCCGUGGACUCGGAGCACAAGGCCAAGUCCUUCAGGCUCUUCUCCUUUGCCAACCCGCACAUGCGCACCUUCCACCUCUCCUGGAUUUCCUUCUUCACCUGCUUCGUCUCCACCUUCGCCGCGGCUCCGUUGGUGCCCAUCAUUCGCGACAACCUCAACCUCGCCAAGGCUGACAUUGGCAAUGCCGGAGUGGCCUCCGUGUCAGGGUCUAUCUUCUCCAGGCUGGCCAUGGGUGCCAUCUGCGACCUUCUUGGGCCGCGGUACGGCUGCGCCUUCCUCGUCAUGCUCUCGGCUCCCACGGUCUUCUGCAUGGCCGUCAUCGACGAUGCAUCGGGCUACAUCGCAGUCCGCUUCCUCAUCGGCUUCUCCCUCGCCACCUUCGUGUCGUGCCAGUACUGGAUGAGCACCAUGUUCAACAGUAAAAUCAUUGGCACGGUGAAUGGCCUCGCGGCCGGGUGGGGAAACAUGGGUGGCGGCGCCACACAGCUCAUCAUGCCCCUCGUCUUCCAUGCUAUCCAAAAGUGUGGUGCCACGCCAUUUGUGGCAUGGCGUAUCGCCUACUUCGUGCCUGGAAUGAUGCACAUUGUGAUGGGCUUGUUGGUACUCACAAUGGGCCAAGAUCUUCCUGAUGGCAACCUUGCAAGCCUCCAGAAGAAGGGAGACAUGGCCAAGGACAAGUUCUCCAAGGUCCUUUGGGGUGCCGUCACCAACUACCGGACAUGGAUCUUCGUCCUCCUCUACGGCUACUGCAUGGGCGUCGAGCUCACCACCGACAACGUCAUCGCCGAGUACUACUAUGACCACUUUCACCUAGACCUUCGCGCCGCUGGAACCAUCGCCGCUUGCUUCGGCAUGGCCAACAUCGUCGCACGUCCUAUGGGCGGCUACCUCUCCGACCUUGGCGCUCGGUACUUUGGCAUGCGUGCUCGCCUUUGGAACAUCUGGAUCCUCCAAACCGCUGGCGGAGCUUUCUGCAUCUGGCUCGGUCGUGCAUCGGCCCUUCCUGCCUCAGUGACUGCCAUGGUCCUCUUCUCCAUCUGCGCCCAGGCUGCAUGUGGUGCUGUAUUCGGUGUCGCACCAUUCGUUUCCAGACGUUCCCUUGGGAUCAUCUCUGGGCUCACCGGCGCGGGUGGCAAUGUGGGAGCUGGGCUCACACAACUUCUAUUCUUCACUUCGUCGCAAUACUCCACUGGGAGGGGUCUCGAGUACAUGGGCAUCAUGAUCAUGGCUUGCACGCUGCCCGUCGCUCUUGUGCACUUCCCACAGUGGGGCUCCAUGUUCUUCCCAGCCAGCGCCGAUGCCACGGAGGAAGAGUACUACGCCUCCGAGUGGUCGGAGGAGGAGAAAAGCAAGGGUCUCCAUAUCGCAGGUCAAAAGUUCGCCGAGAACUCCCGCUCGGAACGUGGAAGGCGCAACGUCGUCCUUGCCACAUCUGCCACGCCACCCAACAACACACCUCAACAUGUAUAA